AGAGAGUCGUCGGUGGUGGGGGGCGCAAUGCCGGCGGGCGCUCAGCGAGCGAGACCUGCCUAAGCGGCGAGCGGUCCCAUAACUCCGUGUGCGGCUAAGCAAUCAGGUUCGUCGAGGAUACUCCUCGCUCGUCACUUUUGCUAACGACUGAGGGCGGGGAGAAAGAGGGAGAUAAAGUGAGUGACCCAAGGAGAAACACCGAGGAGAGAGGGAACGAGAGGAAUCAUCGGGGAAAACUUGGAUGAUAGCGAAGAAUCAGCGUGACGAGGAGAACUGUGGAAAGAGUUACGCGAGAAGGAAAGUUUUGAAGAUAGCAGAAUGAAGUGGUGAAACAACUAGAGAAAAAAAACAGGAAAAAACGAAAAAAUAAGGUGAAAGUUGAUUCGUACACAUGAUUUAAAACACAAGAGAAA